rnacentral:ncRNA from 1 species
CGAAAGGCGAUGAUGGAAACGAGUACGCUCUCCAGCCGUCUGACAGCGAACCCGGGAGUGGUGUGAGCCGGGGCAGAGGGGAAGGCGGAAAAUCCUUCCGGAGCCGCGACCUGAACGUAAGGUGUGAAAAGCCUUGCCAGUAGGGAAGCCGGAAUCGCUCGCCGUUAGCCGGAGCGCGGGUAUCUCGAAAAGAUGUACCCGAAAAGAGAGCCUGUCAUAUGACGGGAAACAGGGUGGUACCGCGAGUCCCAUCUCGUCCCUGUG